GGUAUUAUAGUGCAGUGGUGCCACAUCUGACUUGAAACCAGACAGUUGUAGGUUCAAUUCCCACUGGAGGGA
rnacentral:tRNA from 1 species